rnacentral:lncRNA from 1 species
CACAUUAAUGAAAGAGAAACAAAAACACAGAAAUUGAGUGUAAUUUUAUCUAGUAACGGUAAUAUUUUAAACCCACAAAACAGAGCAAUUUUUCCAUUUAUGAUGUUAAAAUAUUGGGUAAUGAUUUGAGAAUAUAAAAUGAUAGAAUUGAGUCCUGGUCCCACACCUUACAUAAAAGUUAAUUCCAGUAUUAAAUGUAAAAAAAAAAAAAAAGAAAGAGAGAGAGAGAGAGAGAAAAGAAAAGAAAAUUAGAUGUACCUGUGUUUUAUGACCUUGAGAAUGAAUGAAUGUCUUCUAAAAUCAAAAUUGCAAACAGAAACUAUAUAAAAAGGAAUAAACCUAACGUACCUAAAACGUACAUUCUUACACAUUUCCACACCAAGUAAAUAGGACAAAACAAACUGGGGACAUUUUUACAACAAUUAUGUUAGAUGAAACUUAAAAUCCUUAUGACAUAUACAAUGUAUAAAACAGUAUUAUUACCACUAUUAUUACUACCAUUAUGAUUACCUGGUCUUCCCACGCACCAGUCCUCUUCCGGUGCCCUAUGGUGAAACAGAGCCCUCCGUCUCUGGCCACAGUGAGGGAUCCAUCAGGAACCCUGCCUAAGCCCUCAGAGGGUGUGAGCCAAACCAGGACAUCACAUUCCCUCCUGCAAUGACGCAGAUAUCCACUCACGACAGAGAUUUGGUACCUCUCUGGAAAAGCUGUGUAACAAUUAUUGCAGAAACUUGUUUCUUAUGUUCCCAGACACAUGGAGAAAGCUGGUCUGGAAGACUGAUGUCCACAUGCUAAGAGAAGCAGUCACUCAUAACACACACUGCACACACCACACCAUGUGCACACACACCCCACACACAGACACCACACAAACAGCACACACACCAUGUGCACACGUGAAGGGGUGGUCUGCCCCUCCACACUUGUGGGCGUUUCUCAUCGGGUGGAACAAGAGACUUGAGAAAAGAGACACAGAGACGAAGUAUAGAGAAAGAAAAGUGGGCCCAGGGGAAUGGCGCUCAGCAUACGGAGGACCCACGCUGGCACCAGUCUCUCAGUUCCCUUAGUAUUUAUUGAUCAUUAUCAGGCGUUUCUCAGAGAGGGGGAUGUGGCAGGACAAUAGGGUAAUAGUGGAGAGAAGGUCAGCAGGAAAACAUAUGAACAAAUGUCUCUGCAUCAUAAACAAGGUAAAGAAAAAAGUGCUGUGCUUUUGAUGUUCAUAUACAUAAACAUCUCAAUGCCUUAAAGAGCAGUAUUGUUGCCAGCAUGUCCCACCUCCAGCCCUAAGGCAGUUUUCCCCUAUCUCAGUAGAUGGAAUAUACAACUGGGCUUUACACUGAGAUAUUCCAUUGCCCAGGGACAAGCAGGAGACAGAUGCCUUCCUCUUAUCUCAACUGCAAAGAGGCCUUCCUUUUUACUAAUCCUCCCCAGCACAGAACCUUUAUAGGUGUCAGGCUGGGGGAUGGUCAGGUCUUUCCCUUCCCAUGAGACCAUAUUUCAGACUAUCACAUGGGGAGAAACCUUGGACAAUACCUGGCUUUCCUAGGCAGAGUUCCCUGUGGCCUUCCGCAGUGUUUUGUGUCCCUGGGUACUUGAGAGUAGGGAGUGGUGAUGACUCUUAACAAGAAUGCUGCCUUCAAGCAUUUGUUUAACAAAGCACAUCCUGCACAGCCGUUAAUCCAUUUAACCUUGACUUGACACAGCACAUGUCUCAGGGAGCACAGGGUUGGGGGUACGGUUACAGAUUAACAGCCUCUCAAGGCAGAAGAAUUUUUCUUAGUACAGAACAAAAUGGAGUCUCUUAUGUCUACUUCUUUCUACAUAGACACAGUAACAGUCUGAUCUUUUUCUUUUCCCCCCACACAUGCAUACACACCCCACAGACACCGCACACACUGCACACACACCCCAGACACCACACCCACUGCACACACCACACCAUAUGCACACACACAACCCAGACACCAUACACACUGCACAUACCUCAUGAGCACAUGCACACACAUCACACAGACACCACACACUGCACACACACCAUGUGCACAAACACCACACACACUGCACACACACCAUGUGCACGUAUACACACCCCACACUGCACACACACACGUGCACACGCACACACCCCAGAGACUACACACCGCACACACCACUCCAUGUGCACACACACCCCACACACAGACACCACACACUGCACACAGCCCACCACACUGCACAUGCCACACCGUGUACAUGCACACACCACACACACACCACACACAGUGUACACAAGCACACAUGCCCCACACAUACACCACACAGACACCACACACACUGCACACAGCACAACAUGCAUACACGCACACACACCCCCACACACCACACACACUGCACACACACCAUGUGCAC